CGAACGAUGAAGCCCAGCUUGCUGGGUGGAUUAGUGGCGAAACGGGUGCGUACUACGUGGGUGAUCUGCCCUGCACUUUCGGGAUAAGCCCGGGAAAACUGGGUCUAAUACCGGAUAGGACCUCGGGAUUGCAUGUUCCGGGGCGGAAAGGUUUUUCCGGUGCAGGAUGGGCCCGCGGCCUAUCAGCUUGUUGGUGGGGUAACGGCCCACCAAGGCGACGACGGGUAGCCGGCCUGAGAGGGCGACCGGCCACACUGGGACUGAGACACGGCCCAGACUCCUACGGGAGGCAGCAGUGGGGAAUAUUGCACAAUGGGCGCAAGCCUGAUGCAGCGACGCCGCGUGAGGGAUGACGGCCUUCGGGUUGUAAACCUCUUUCAGUACCGACGAAGCGCAAGUGACGGUAGGUACAGAAGAAGCACCGGCCAACUACGUGCCAGCAGCCGCGGUAAUACGUAGGGUGCGAGCGUUGUCCGGAAUUACUGGGCGUAAAGAGCUCGUAGGCGGUUUGUCGCGUCGUCUGUGAAAACCCGCAGCUCAACUGCGGGCUUGCAGGCGAUACGGGCAGACUUGAGUACUGCAGGGGAGACUGGAAUUCCUGGUGUAGCGGUGAAAUGCGCAGAUAUCAGGAGGAACACCGGUGGCGAAGGCGGGUCUCUGGGCAGUAACUGACGCUGAGGAGCGAAAGCGUGGGUAGCGAACAGGAUUAGAUACCCUGGUAGU
rnacentral:rRNA from 1 species